CCUAUCAGGAGUGAAAUAAAUCUGGAUAUAAGCCCAGACAGGAUUGGGGUCCCCAAGCGAGGGAGGGACCUAAAGUAGGAGGUCAAGAAAGGCUAGUAAGGCGACAGGUAAUGGAUAAGGUGUGUUGGGGGUGUGAACAGGUAUGGUGAUCAGGAAAUAAUAAUAAUUAUAUUAAGAUAGUGAUCUUAAUAAUACAUAUU